UUGGGAAUUUUGGACAAUGGGGGAAACCCUGAUCCAGCAAUCCCGCGUGAGUGAUGAAGGCCUUCGGGUCGUAAAGCUCUUUUAGCAGAGACGAAGGGAAACUUGACUGUAUCUGCAGAAAAAGCACCGGCUAACUCCGUGCCAGCAGCCGCGGUAAUACGGAGGGUGCAAGCGUUGUUCGGAAUCAUUGGGCGUAAAGCGCGUGUAGGCGGUUUCUUAAGUCUGGUGUGAAAGCCUGGGGCUCAACCCUAGAAGUGCACUGGAUACUGGGAAACUCGAGGACGAGAGAGGAGAGUGGAAUUCCUGGUGUAGGGGUGAAAUCCGUAGAUAUCAGGAGGAACAUCAGAGGCGAAGGCGGCUCUCUGGCUCGUAUCUGACGCUGAGACGCGAAAGCGUGGGGAGCAAACAGG
rnacentral:rRNA from 1 species